rnacentral:lncRNA from 1 species
GCCCCACGCCUCUGAAGGGCCGGGGACAGGGGCACCCGCCUGAUUACAGGGGGUCCCGCCGAGCGCAGGGGACAGGCACGGCCCUACUUACAGGGUGGUCCCCUGCGGCUCGGCACUCCCAACCAGCCCCACGGAGCCCGAGGCUCCCACCUGCGCCCGAGUGACGGGCCGGCCAGCCUGGCUGCAGCACAACCACCACAACAACCACCACCAUCUCUUCGGGAGCCCGGCGGACCACCUCCACCCCAGCCAAAAGCAGCGCCAAAGGCGGGCCUGUGCCCUCCGGCACGGCACUUCCUCAACCCGCACCCUUCCAAAGGGCCGGGGAGGGCUCGCUCCUGCCGCCUGGCUAAAGCAGCCGCCCCAGCCCUGCUUACAGGGAGGCCGGGCUGCUCCUGGGGACACAGGGCUCCACGGGCUCGUGACACGCGCCNGCGGCUCGGCACUCCCAACCAGCCCCACGGAGCCCGAGGCUCCCACCUGCGCCCGAGUGACGGGCCGGCCAGCCUGGCUGCAGCACAACCACCACAACAACCACCACCAUCUCUUCGGGAGCCCGGCGGGCCACCUCCACCCCACACGCGGGGAGGUCACCCCAGCCAAAAGCAGCGCCAAAGGCGGGCCUGUGCCCUCCGGCACAGCACUUCCUCAACCCGCACCCUUCCAAAGGGGCAGGGAGGGCUCGCUCCUGCUGGCUGGCUAAAAGCAGCCGCCCCAGCCCUGCUUACAGGGAGGCCGGGCUGCUCCGGGGGACACAGGGCUCCACGGGCUCGUGACACGCGCCCCGAGUACGGGGCCGUCACGCUGGCACGUCGCCAGCAGGACAGGCAGCCGCGCAGGCAGAGAGAGACCCAGGCUCUGACUACAGGCUGGUCGCCUUGCCCGCGCUCCACGACUAAAGCGGCUUCGCUCCGUCCUUAGAAAGGAGAGGCAAGCCCGGACCCUCCCUCCGCUGGCAGCCUCAGAGGGGACUCCCCCGUUGCCGCACAGAGCCCUCUCUCCCUCCUGGGAAGUUU